UCCUGAGACAUUACCUGGUUAUAACCUGGUUAUAACCUGGUUAUAUCCUGAGACAUUACCUGGUUAUAACCUGGUUAUAACCUGGUUAUAACCUGAGACAUUAC